rnacentral:rRNA from 1 species
CAGCCGCCACGGUAAUACAGAGGGUGCAAGCGUUAAUCGGAAUUACUGGGCGUAAAGCGCGCGUAGGUGGUUUGUUAAGUUGGAUGUGAAAUCCCCGGGCUCAACCUGGGAACUGCAUCCAAAACUGGCAAGCUAGAGUAUGGUAGAGGGUGGUGGAAUUUCCUGUGUAGCGGUGAAAUGCGUAGAUAUAGGAAGGAACACCAGUGGCGAAGGCGACCACCUGGACUGAUACUGACACUGAGGUGCGAAAGCGUGGGGAGCAAACAGGAUUAGAUACCCCUGUAGUCCCUGUCUCUUAUAA